GACGAACGCUGGCGGCGUGCUUAACACAUGCAAGUCGAACGGAAAGGCCCUGCUUUUGUGGGGUGCUCGAGUGGCGAACGGGUGAGUAACACGUGAGUAACCUGCCCUUGUCUUUGGGGUAACUUCAGGAAACUGGGGCUAAUACCGGAUAGGAGCUCCUGCUGCGUGGUGGGGGUUGGAAAGUUUCGGCGGUUGGGGCUGGUAUCGCAGGUUAUCAGCUUGCUGGUGGGGUAGUGGCUUACCAGGGGUUUGACGGGUAGGCGACAUGGGAGAGUGACCGGCCACAUUGGGCCUAGGGUAGGGCGCAGAAGCGUACGGGCGGCAGCAGUGGGAAAUCUUGCACAAUGAGCGGAAGCCUGAUGCAGCAACGCCGCGUGCGGGAUGACGGCUUUCGGGUUGUAAACCGAUUUCGCAUGUGACGAAGCGUGAGUGACGGUAAUGGGUAAAAAAGCACCGGCUAACUACGUG
rnacentral:rRNA from 1 species